AUGCAGGUUUUUAGGUAUUUUACGAAAUGCUAAUCCUUUUUAGGCUUACACAAUUUUGAUCAUUUGCAGCUGAAAUCAAAUUUUUGACGUUAUGGCUAUAGUAUGGAAAAUUCAAUGACAGGAAGUGUGCGCCUGUCAAGCAGAUAAUAUCAGUAACACUUUACAACAAGAUUCCUAUUACUAACAUUAUUUAACAACAGUAGUUAA